AUCCGGUCUAUCUUUAUUGACUACAAUGCAUGAGCCCUGGAAGUGAAAGAUGCUGCUGGGCACAGGAGAAGCCCCCUCUCCAUAUGUCCUUUAGACCUUGGAGAGGAGCCAGAAGUUUUCCAGUGCCAGAUCUGAAUCAGGGAUUGAACUCAGGCCCUUG